AGUACUAGCCUCGAUCCCAGGCCGAGUUUUCGCUUUUAUAACGGUUAGGCGAACAACUGGGCCUGGUACUAGUUGUCUGCGCAUGCGUCAAUCGUUCGUCAGAUUCUGACGAAUGGAUAUUCUCGUUCACUUUGGUGACAUUUAUAUUCGUGUACUAUCGUGUACUAGAAGUCAGUUCCCGUUUUAUCAUUAUUGGAAUCGAUUGGAAUGGCUCUUAGCUGAAGCUUCUCUCUUCUCUGAAGCUUAUUCUGAAGACUGAACAACAAGGGAAGAGGUAUAAAGCUUUGUCAAGCUUGUUAAGGUCAGAUAUUUUUGUGUGGGCCCUAUGGCCGGCUAUGCUAUCAAGUCUUGUUCAUGUUUGGCAAGAAUGUAGGUAGACUAUAGUUUCAUCAUUAAUAUGGUGGAUCAAGUGAAGAGUGUGAGCUAGAGAACUUGGUGCUGCCAUCAUCAGCUCGUCAACAAUGACACUAUAACCGAGAAAUUUAAUAUGUAUAGAUCUACACGUAUUUAAAAUGUCUACUUCUCUGUACAGGAGCAAUGGCUAAUAUCCAGCUAUCCCAACAGUGCUCCUCUUGGCUAUACUAACGGACGAGACUGGACAGUUUGAGACACAGGACUGGAGUAUGACCUGCUCAUUCGAGCGUUGCUGGGUAGCUCAGAGACAUCAAGAGAAUCUACGUUUUCUCAAGCAAUGAGUUACGAGUUGGGGCCUAGAAUCAGAGAAGUCCAGCAGCCUGCUAAAUCUUUUUGAAACGUAAUUUGAAGGCAUUCAAUCAUCCUGAAGUUGCCCUGGGUCACUGUAAUUGUGCUGCAGCACAACUGGCAACUCCCCAGGCCUUUGUGAAGCAGCUCCCUAUGUGCAUCUUUUGUGUACUCACUCUGUGCAUUUUCUGUGUACAAAUUUCCAUUAUUGAUUUAUUAAAUAUUUUUGCCGACCACAAA